rnacentral:lncRNA from 1 species
GGUUUUGAGGAAAUUUUAUACUUUUCUUUGGUUUUGAGGAAAUUAUAUAUUUUUCUUUGGUUUUGAGGAAAUUAUAUAUUUUUCAUGGAUAUUUGAUUUUGUUAAUUGUUCAGCUUAAAGUCAGAAAACAAUGUACUAUAUAUAAGAGAAGUCAAAGUCGCUGAUUUCUGGCUUUUCGUGUUGUCCAAAUACUGUCUCAUUAAUUCAGAUAAGAUUCUGUAUACAUGUGGCCUAAAAAAAUAUCCAGGACCUUUCUGAAUUUUCGUGUAAUUUCAGAUGAAUUUAGAAGUUAUAUCUGAAUUCUAAUGUUACUUUAGACAAAGGAAAUUUUCAAAAAAUUUCAGUACUGAAUUUUCAUGUUAUUUCAGACAAUCUGAAUUAUAA